GGAAAAGCAAUAAAGUGUUUUUUUUUUUUUUUUUUUUUUUUUU
rnacentral:ribozyme from 1 species